UACGUAGGUGGCAAGCGUUGUCCGGAUUUACUGGGCGUAAAGAGCGCGCAGGCGGUCAUUCAAGUCGCGUGUGAAAGCCCCCGGCUCAACUGGGGAGGGUCACGCGAUACUGAUCGACUCGAAGGCAGGAGAGGGUAGUGGAAUUCCCGGUGUAGUGGUGAAAUGCGCAGAUAUCAGGAAGAACACCCGUGGCGAAGGCGGCUCUCUGGGACGGUACUGACGCUGAGACGCGAAAGCGUGGGGAGCGAACAGG
rnacentral:rRNA from 1 species